GAUGAACGCUAGCGGCAGGCCUAAUACAUGCAAGUCGAGGGGCAGCACGGGUAGCAAUACCUGGUGGCGACCGGCAAACGGGUGCGGAACACGUACAGAACCUUCCUUUAAGCGGGGGAUAGCCCGGAGAAAUCCGGAUUAAUACCCCAUAAGAUUAUAUAGUGGCAUCACUUAGUAUAAUUAAAGAUUUAUCACUUAAAGAUGGCUGUGCGCCUGAUUAGGUAGUUGGUGCGGGUAAUGGCCCACCAAGCCAACGAUCAGUAACUGGUGUGAGAGCACGACCAGUCACACGGGCACUGAGACAC
rnacentral:rRNA from 1 species